rnacentral:sRNA from 1 species
AUGUACCCACGUACACUCCGGUUCCUCCGCGCCGCCCACACCCACCUGACGAUCGCGCGCUACGCUUCUUAGCC